AUUGAACGCUGGCGGCAUGCCUUACACAUGUAAGUCGAACGGCAGCACGGGUGCUUGCACCUGGUGGCGAGUGGCGAACGGGUGAGUAAUAUAUCGGAACGUACCUUAUUGUGGGGGAUAACGCAGCGAAAGCUGUGCUAAUGCCGCAUAAUCCCUAAGGGGGAAAGCGGGGGACCGUAAGGCCUCGCGCAAUUAGAGCGGCCGAUACCUGAUUAGCUAGUUGGUGAGGUAAAGGCUCACCAAGGCAACGAUCAGUAGCUGGUCUGAGAGGACGAUCAGCCACACUGGGACUGAGACACGGCCCAGACUCCUACGGGAGGCAGCAGUGGGGAAGUUUGGACAAUGGGGGGAACCCUGGUCCAGCAAUGCCGCGUGAGGGAAGAAGGCCUUCGGGUUGUAAAGCUCUUUUGUCAGGGAAGAAACACCGGCUCUAACACAGUCCGGGAAUGACGGUACCUGAAGAAUAAGCACCGGCUAACCACGUGCCAGCCGCCGCCGUAA
rnacentral:rRNA from 1 species